GACGAACGCUGGCGGCGUGCUUAACACAUGCAAGUCGAACGGAAAGGCCCUGCUUUUGUGGGGUGCUCGAGUGGCGAACGGGUGAGUAACACGUGAGUAACCUGCCCUUGACUUUGGGAUAACUUCAGGAAACUGGGGCUAAUACCGGAUAGGAGCUCCUGCUGCAUGGUGGGGGUUGGAAAGUUUCGGCGGUUGGGGAUGGACUCGCGGCUUAUCAGCUUGUUGGUGGGGUAGUGGCUUACCAAGGCUUUGACGGGUAGCCGGCCUGAGAGGGUGACCGGCCACAUUGGGACUGAGAUACGGACCAGACUCCUACGGGCGGCAGCAGUGGGGAAUAUGGCACAAUGGGCGGAAGCCUGAUGCAGCAACGCCGCGUGCGGGAUGACGGCCUUCGGGUUGUAAACCGCUUUCGCCUGUGACGAAGCGUGAGUGACGGUAAUGGGUAAAGAAGCACCGGCUAACUACGUG
rnacentral:rRNA from 1 species